rnacentral:tRNA from 1 species
GGCCUUGUAGUGUAGCGGUCUUAUCACUUGAGAUUCUGAUUCGGUCGUGUGACUGUUAGACUUCUCAAAACCCAGGUUCGAGUCCUGGCAAGGCCU